rnacentral:rRNA from 1 species
GUGGGGAAUCUUAGACAAUGGGCGCAAGCCUGAUCUAGCCAUGCCGCGUGAGCGAUGAAGGCCUUAGGGUUGUAAAGCUCUUUCAGUGGGGAAGAUAAUGACUGUACCCACAGAAGAAGCCCCGGCUAACUCCGUGCCAGCAGCCGCGGUAAUACGGAGGGGGCUAGCGUUGUUCGGAAUUACUGGGCGUAAAGCGCCCGUAGGCGGACUGGAAAGUCAGGGGUGAAAUCCCGGGGCUCAACCCCGGAACUGCCGUUGAAACUCUCAGUCGUGAGGUCGGGAGAGGGGAGUGGAAUUCCGAGUGUAGAGGUGAAAUUCGUAGAUAUUCGGAGGAACACCAGUGGCGAAGGCGGCUCACUGGCUCGAUACUGACGCUGAGGUGCGAAAGCGUGGGGAGCAAACAGGAUUAGAUACCCCGGUAGUCC